GCCGGGUUCGAAUCUCCAUGAAGCUCACUGGCUGACCUUGGAGUCAGUCGCCUAACCUCACAGGGACGAGGAGAACCAUGGACACCACCUCGAGAUCCUUGGAAGAUAAAGGUGGUUUUUAAAUGAAAUAAUAAUAAAUGAAUGGAUGGCCUGGCUGCAUUAUCUCCCUCCUUCUGCCAAUUGAGGAGAGCCGCUUUUCCAAAGGGAAGCUUUCUCGAUGCUAAAGGGAGAGAAAAGCCUUUUUGCAUGAAGUUCAUGCAGAUGCUUUCUGAUGAACUGGGAAGAGAUGUCUUGGGAAGGGUGGAGGAAAGAAAAAAAUGUAUUGUUGUAAACAAAAAUUGCCUUUUUCCCUUAUGGGGUAUCCAAGAGCCCAUAUAGAGUCCUUACAUAGGUUCCCUAUUGGUAGGAGAAAAUAACAGAGGCCAACCAGAGAAUAUUGAGAAGCAAAGCAGCUAGCAAGCUUGAUCUUUAUUCAUCUGUUGCAACAGGGUGCUCCCCUCACACGCAGGAGAGGAGGGACCCAGAAAAAUGGCACGCAAGGCCUUAUAAAGACUUUUGAAAUUCCCAUCCUGUAGAUGAAGACCACCCCCAGAAACAUCAUACAUACAUCACAGAAAAGGAAGUCUAAACAGAAAUUUGAAUGUUGUUUUUCUCCUGUCCUUGUUUAUCUCCUGUCUGGCAGGUUACUUGAUUGGAUUGCCUGGGGAGCCUGGCCAGUCUUUUGUAGUGAUAAAUACUUAGUUCCUGGGCCAGGUCACAGGCUCACACCCUAUUCAUAUCUUAAAUGUUCCCUUAAGACAGGAUUUGUGAGGAAAGAGACAAUGGGGAGGUUUCCCACUUUGACCUUGCAGAGGAAACAUUUGGUCAGUUUAGGAAUCAAAAUGGUUCCAGGUUGGUCUUCCUGUGCUGAUCUAUGUAUGUGCUUGGUUGGUACGCUUAUGAACAUUACCAUAUAUCUAAGGCCUCAAAAUUCCUAUCACAGUAUCAUCCAGGGAAUUUAUUUUUUUAAUUUUUUGUUUCUGGUUCUCUAGGGUGCCAAAAAUCAAUCUCCUGAACAAUUGCAGAGUUGGAACGGGGCCUUAGGGUCAUCUAGCCCAACCCCCUGCUGCCGAGUUAGAAAAAUGGAGCCAGCCCAUUUGGAAACCAAAUAGAUCUUUUUAAUCUUUUUAUCGGUUUUCGUUCUUUGGGUUUUAUGUUUUUGUAUGUUUUGUUUGUAAAUGAAUUAAAAUAAUAUUGUUUCACAAAUGAAAAAGGGAGAAAGUGAGGAAGUAAAAAGAACUGCACCCUUUAAGUUUGCUGAUUUUUUUUUAUUUUGAAAUUAUUUUAUUUUGAAAUUAUUUUAUUUAUUUUAUUUUGAAAUUUUAUUUAAUUUUGAAAUUAUUUUAUUUAUUUUAUUUUGAAAUUUUAUUUUAUUUUGAAAUUAUUUAUGGCACAUUCUUCCUUUCAAUAUAGGGAGAGCGCCUAAAGUUCAAACUCUUUUGGCAGCUGUGGUCAAAGGGCAGCAUAGAGACUGGAGGGGCAGAGCGGCCCUCUUCUGGCUCCGCCCUCCGCGUUGCCAUGGAGACCCUGCCGGCAAAGCGGCCUCCUCUCACUUCUCAUAGCCUUUUCCUGGAUUCCGACUCCGUACCCCACAUCAAUCAUCGAGGCUGGCCGCCUUGCGUCGAAGAGAGUUAUCGUAGGCGGCUAGGCCUGGAUAUUUCAUGAACUACAACUCCCGUCAUCCCUAGAGAGCGAGGCCGCCGGUCAAGGACGACGGGAAUUGGAGUUUAUCAACGGGAAGAGAAUACCGGAAGUCCGGGCUGCGUUGCCGCUCUAUCAUUAUCUCUACUGUCCUUCCUAUCCAAAUAACGAAGCAGCAGCAGGGAGGAGAUGUUUCUGGAGAGGGGGCGUGGCUCUCUCUCGAGGACUGAGGGG